CGGCCAGGAAGGAGGAGGCAGCCUGAGUGGCCACCACUGGUCUCUGCAGCAGAAGACCCCUUGCUGCCAGAAGCUGGGCACAAGGAAGAAGGAAGAGGGGACAGUCUCUACCCUGCCCUGACUGUCCACGCGAGAUGAGAUGCUGGAUCUGCUACAGCAAGACUGUAGGGCAGCCCACACGGUCAGCAUGAGGGCAGGAGAAGACUCACACUCGAGAGCUGGGCUUCUCUUUGCCAAUCGUGUGUCAGCGCAAAACAAAGUCAGAGCAGGGAGCGUGACCGUGAGCCAAGCUCCAGCUGGGCAGGAUGAGCAUGCCCUACCCAGAUCCCACCCCCAGCUUCAGAAUGAGGUUGGAAAGAAAACUUCCUAUCCAAAUCAUGAUCAAGCUCCCAGCCUCCACCCUUGUGUUUGACCAACACAUGAUCAAAAAUUGGGACUCCUGAAUUAGGGGACGUGUAACCCCAGUCCCGUCCCAGUGGGAAAAAAGCCUGGAGCACCAGCUGCCACCAAGUCACUUUCCUGCAACCCUAAGAGUGACUCCAGACAGACCUUCUACACAAGAUCCUGAGGAGUUUUGCAGUCAUUCCAAACUUUGGUCAAGGAGAAAGCCAAGGAAGACUACCGAAGUGGCCUGAAAUGAAACAGGCCAGUUUGGGCCUGACUGGAUUCAAACUGGCCAAUGCUGUUUGCGUCACAUUGGGCCAGAUUUGGACCCCCUAGCUUU